UGCAGAUAUUCGCCUUGGUUGGGUAAUUAGGAUAUUACACUCAGAGCCUCUACCUUCUUCAGUCCAUUGGUCCAGUAUCAUCUGUGGUACCUACAAUAACAAUGAAAAGGGAAAGUUGAAUGUGGACGCCCAGUUUCUAUCCCCGAGUCUGAUGUGAGAAAGAGGUUAUCCACUGUGACUCUACCCAACAUGUAGGUAAUCCGGUUUCCUCCUGCACUACCACUGGACUGAUGAAGGACAACCUCAGCAGAUACAACGGGGGUUUAAACAGGCCACAACCUUAAUUCCCCCAUUACUAAGGUAAACUCCAAUGAACACCAAGCCAUUAAAUCGAGCAAUUCCUCACAUUUACCUAUACACCAAUAUCAUAUGUUAAUAAAUUGGUUGUAGUUA